UAGGGAAUCGUCCACAAUGGACGCAAGUCUGAUGGAGCAACGCCGCGUGAGUGAAGAAGGGUUUCGGCUCGUAAAGCUCUGUUGUUAAAGAAGAACGUGGGUAAGAGUAACUGUUUACCCAGUGACGGUAUUUAACCAGAAAGCCACGGCUAACUACGUGCCAG
rnacentral:rRNA from 1 species